AAAGCCAAGCCAGGCAGUGCUAGGUGAGGCGCUAGAGGGUCGCCUGUGCGCCUCACUCGCCUUUAACAACACUACUUAUGAUGUUUCCUCAAAUGUUCAAUUUCAAAAAUAAUCUCAAGGAAAAGAUGAGAAGCAACUUGAAGAAACUCUACAUAGGCUGAAAGCAUAGCUAGAAGCAAUAUCAAGAUUUCUUGAACUUGUCAUCGCUCAUCACAAAUCAACAGGAUGCAAAGCAAGAAUUUGAUAGUGAAAAGCAUGAAAAGCAACAUGGAGAAUCCAAAGUUUUGAAUGUUGAGCCUUCACAUGUUAAAAUCCAAGAUGAUGAGAUUGAGUUGGAAAGUUUUGAGAAACCUAUUCUAAAGAAAGAAGUUGAUGAGAAUGAGCUAGAAGAGUUUGAGGAUUCGACCCUAGGGAAAGAAGAAAAUAAACCGUUGAGAAGACAAUGGACAUUGAAAAUUUAUCUAAUUCUAGUGAAUUGAAGAGCCAGUCAAUUGUAUUUAUGAAUGAUUUUAUGUGUUUAGAUAUUUCUGGCGAUGUGAAGGAAUGAAUGGAGUUCUUUAUUUCAAUCUUAUUGCCCACAUCCAAGAAGAGAGAGGAGAGUUGCUUGUUCUUCGAGUUCAACUCCUGAUUUUUCAAUACUACAAAAUUCAAGGUCUCCUUUUCUCCAACUAGGGGAAAUUGAAGCAAUCAAAGAAAUCUAAAUUUAAGAAUUAUUUUGAUUUAGUUUUUCAUUGUAAAAUUGGGAAGUUUGGAUUUCUAUUAUUUAGAAAUUUUAAUUUAGAAAAUAGUAUUUUAUUUUAUUUAGGAAG
rnacentral:misc_RNA from 1 species